ACUACCUGACGCCGUUGACUUUUUAUUCAACGUUUGACCAUUCGUCUUAUUCAAAAAAUUUAUGUAAUUAUUAUUUAUUUUAUGGUGACUUGAUGCAUCAUCAAAUGUUCUUUAAGUAUGAUAUAAAUAUUUUUAUAUUUGCACAAAAAUUUUGAAUAAAACGAAUGGUCAAACAUUGGUCAAAAAGUCAACGGCGUCAUACAUU
rfam:Oryza rufipogon genomic scaffold, chr08